AGUAAGUGUUUUACUUCAUUUACAUUAUGUAUUUUAUAAGAUAAUAUUACUUUAUGAUGACAUUUAUACAUUAUGCGUGACAUCUGCUUGCUUUAAUGGGUGCGCACACUGAACAUUCAAGUCUGGAGCUGAAGGAGUUACCAUGGAAAUGGGGCGGAAACUCAACUCUCGAGCAGCAAAACACGUCUCCCACUGUUGUUUUCACAAAUUUCAGAUUCUUCCAUGCUAAUGGCGGUGCAACAGAGUUGGAGCGUAUCUCCUGUCGAAAAACAUCUCUAGACAUUAUGAACCAUAUGACCAAGACUGAAAAUCGUCAAUAAAACACAAG